rnacentral:ncRNA from 1 species
GUGUUGUAUGAAAGGAGAGAGGCUUAGCACUCCCCUUGACAAGGAUGGAAGAAGCCCUUGAGCCUAACAACCAAUUGCAGUUAAGACGUUGCCACCUACUUUGUAGCAUCUAACCAUUUUUUUUU